GACGUAGGGCGCGAGCGUUGUCCGGAUUUAUUGGGCGUAAAGAGCGUGUAGGCGGUCCGGUAAGUCCGCUGUGAAAGUCCAGGGCUCAACCCUGGAAUGCCGGUGGAUACUGCCGGGCUAGAGUCCGGAAGAGGCGAGUGGAAUUCCUGGUGUAGCGGUGAAAUGCGCAGAUAUCAGGAGGAACACCGAUGGCGAAGGCAGCUCGCUGGGACGGUACUGACGCUGAGACGCGAAAGCGUGGGGAGCAAACAGG
rnacentral:rRNA from 1 species